rnacentral:rRNA from 1 species
AACGAACGCUGGCGGCAUGCCUAACACAUGCAAGUCGAACGAGACCUUCGGGUCUAGUGGCGCCCGGGUGCGUAACGCGUGGGAACCUGCACUUAGGUUCGGAAUAACUCCCCGAAAGGGGUGCUAAUACCGGAUAAUGUCUUCGGACCAAAGAUUUAUCGCCUUUGGAUGGGCCCGAGUUGGAUUAGCUAGUUGUUAGGGUAAAAGCCUACCAAGGCGACGAUCCAUAGCUGGUCUGUGAGGAUGAUCAGCCACACUGGGACUGAGACACGGCCCAGACUCCUACGGGAGGCAGCAGUGGGGAAUAGUGGACAAUGGGCGAAAGCCUGAUCCAGCAAGGCCGCGUGAGUGAUGAAGGCCUUAGAGUUGUAAAGCUCUUUUACCCGGGAUGAUAAUGACAGUACCGGGAGAAUAAGCUCCGGCUAACUCCGUG